GUCAACUGGAAUAAAGACGGAGUUUUAAUUUUCUCUCUGUUUGGUAAUAAGACUAUAAGAAAUUUCACAUCUGACAGAAUGAGCAUUGACCCAAUCAUUCCUACAAAGUUGGACAUUUCCAACGUUCAUCAAGAUGAUGCAGGGAAGUACUGUUGUAGUGCAACCACCAAGAGAGGUCCGAAAAUUAGAGAGUGGAAUUUAACCGUGUCUGAGCGUGAGAGCCCCAAAGAAAUCAGUUCGGCAUUGUCUUUUCCAUGGGUAUACCCUCUUCUAAUUGGAUUGGUUCUAAGUGCUAUCACUUGUUUGACUGUUUUGCUCUACAGAAAACUCAGGGCAAGAACCACAAGCGAAGACAUGGUGAGGACCAGGACCCCGAGACAAGACCAGG